rnacentral:rRNA from 1 species
UACGUAGGGUGCAAGCGUUGUCCGGAAUUAUUGGGCGUAAAGGGCUCGUAGGCGGUCUGUCGCGUCGGGAGUGAAAACUCAGGGCUUAACCCUGAGCCUGCUUCCGAUACGGGCAGACUAGAGGUAUGCAGGGGAGAACGGAAUUCCUGGUGUAGCGGUGGAAUGCGCAGAUAUCAGGAGGAACACCGGUGGCGAAAGCGACUUCCUGGACCAGUACCGACGUUCAGGCACGAAAGCGUGGGGAGCAAACAGG